UCAGACGAGCGGAAAACUUAG
rnacentral:piRNA from 1 species